rnacentral:rRNA from 1 species
UACGUAGGGGGCAAGCGUUGUCCGGAUUUAUUGGGCGUAAAGAGCUCGUAGGCGGCUUGUCACGUCGGGUGUGAAAGCCCGGGGCUUAACCCCGGGUCUGCAUUCGAUACGGGCUGGCUAGAGUGUGGUAGGGGAGAUCGGAAUUCCUGGUGUAGCGGUGAAAUGCGCAGAUAUCAGGAGGAGCCCCGGUGGCGAAGGCGGAUCUCUGGGCCAUUACUGACGCUGAGGAGCGAAAGCGUGGGGAGCGAACAGG